rnacentral:rRNA from 1 species
GAUGAACGCUGGCGGCGUGCUUAACACAUGCAAGUCGAGCGAAGCGCUUUGACGGAUUUCUUCGGAUUGAAGUCUUAGUGACUGAGCGGGCGACGGGUGAAGGUACGCGUGGUAACCGUGCCUCAUACAGGGGGAUAACAGUUGGAAACGACUGCUAAUACCGCAUAAGCGCACAGUACCGCAUGGUACGGUGUGAAAAACUCCGGUGGUAUGAGAUGGACCCGCGUCUGAUUAGGUAGUUGGUGGGGUAACGGCCUACCAAGCCGACGAUCAGUAGCCGACCUGAGAGGGUGACCGGCCACAUUGGGACUGAGACACGGCCCAA